CGUGUAGGCGGCCUGUUAAGUCUUGCGUGAAAUCUCGGGGCUCAACCCCGAGCGGUCGUGAGAAACUGGCGGGCUAGAGUGCGGGAGAGGAGAGUGGAAUUCCUGGUGUAGCGGUGAAAUGCGCAGAUAUCAGGAAGAACACCCGUGGCGAAGGCGGCUCUCUGGAACGCAACUGACGCUGAGACGCGAAAGCGUGGGGAGCAAACA
rnacentral:rRNA from 1 species